UACGUAGGGUGCAAGCGUGGUCCGGAAUUAUUGGGCGUAAAGAGCUCGUAGGCGGUUUGUCGCGUCUGCUGUGAAAACUCAGGGCUUAACUCUGAGCUUGCAGUGGGUACGGGCAGACUAGAGUGCGGUAGGGGAGACUGGAAUUCCUGGUGUAGCGGUGAAAUGCGCAGAUAUCAGGAGGAACACCGGUGGCGAAGGCGGAUCUCUGGGCCAUUACUGACGCUGAGGAGCGAAAGCGUGGGGAGCGAACAGG
rnacentral:rRNA from 1 species